GACGAACGCUGGCGGCGUGCUUAACACAUGCAAGUCGAACGGUGAAAGCGGAGCUUGCUCCGCUGGAUCAGUGGCGAACGGGUGAGUAACACGUGGGCAACCUGCCCCUCACUUCGGGAUAACUCCGGGAAACCGGGGCUAAUACCGGAUAUGACCUCCUUGGGCAUCCUUGGAGGUGGAAAGUUUUUCGGUGAGGGAUGGGCCCGCAGCCUAUCAGCUUGUUGGGGAGGUAGGGGCCCACCAAGGCGACGACGGGUAGCCGGCCUGAGGGGGAGACCGGCAACACGGGGACUGAGACACGGCCAAGACUCCUACGGGAGGAAGCAGUGGGGAAUAUUGCGCAAUGGGCGAAAGCCUGACGCAGCAACGCCGCGUGCGGGAUGACGGCCUUCGGGUUGUAAACCGCUUUCAGCAGGGAAGAAGCCGCAAGGUGACGGUACCUGCAGAAGAAGCACCGGCUAACUACGUGCCAGCCGCCGCGGUAA
rnacentral:rRNA from 1 species